AUUGAACGCUGGCGGCAGGCCUAACACAUGCAAGUCGAGCGAGCGGCGGACGGGGGAGUAAUGUAUGGGGAAUGCGCGAUAGAGGGGGAGAACAACUGGAAAAGGUGGCUCAUACCGCAUACUACAGGAGAACGCACAUGGGAUUAGGUAGUAGGUGGGGUAAAGGCGCACCUAGGCGACGAUGCCUCGCUGGUCUGAGAGGAGGAGCAGCCACACCGGGACUGAGACACGGCCCGUACUCCUACGGAGGCAGCAGUGGGGAAUAUUGCGCAAUGGGCGCAAUCCUGAUGCAGCCAUGCCGCGUGUAUGAAGAAGGCCCUAGGGUUGUAAAGUUCUUUCAGUCGGGAGGCGUUACCCACAGAAGAAGCACCGGCUAACUCCGUGCCAGCAGCCGCGGUAAUAC
rnacentral:rRNA from 1 species